UGUAAAGCUAAACUCCACCGCAGCAGUCUACCAUUGUCUCCUGAGACCGGGUUAAGCCAGACAAGGGGAUUGUGGUCCGUUAUAAGAGAGAACUCCUGCCCGUACAAAUAGUUGCUCAAUUUCUUUAAUGCCCAGACCAGGGCCAAACACUCCUUCUCCACUGCGGCAUAACUCACUUCCCGGGGUAGUAACUUCAUGCUGAGAUAUGUGACAGGGUGCUCUCCUCCAUCUUCCCCGACCUGGCUCAGCACAGCCCCCAGUCCAUACAUGGAAGCAUCUGUAUGGACCAGAAAACAUUUGUUAGGGACUGGGGCAGCCAGGAC
rnacentral:lncRNA from 1 species